ACUUACGAGAUUGAGCAGUCUUAGGAGCUUUAGGAUUGAAAAUCUUACCUUUCUUCUUGUUGUAUUUACUGGAUACAAAUAAGGCAAUUUGGGAUCUUUCACUUUUUGGACUUUUCUUCUUUAGCAAUGCACCUAGAAAUGAGAUCAUUAACAGUCCAGACCUCGUCCUGAGAGUUACACAUUGUCACAGAACCCCAAACUCAGUAAAAAGAGUGUUCAAUGC
rnacentral:lncRNA from 1 species